UACGUAGGGAGCAAGCGUUGUCCGGAAUCAUUGGGCGUAAAGCGCGCGUAGGUGGCCACAUAAGUCCGUUGUGAAAGUCAAAGGCUCAACCUUUGAAAGCCGAUGGAUACUGUGUGGCUAGAGUACGGAAGAGGCGAGUGGAAUUCCUGGUGUAGCGGUGGAAUGCGUAGAUAUCGGGAGGAACACCAGUGGCGAAGGCGACUACCUGGCCUGUUCUUGACGCUGAGGCGCGAAAGCUAGGGGAGCAAACGGG
rnacentral:rRNA from 1 species